AGGACGAACGCUGGCGGCGUGCUUAACACAUGCAAGUCGAACGGAGAUUAUUAAUGAAGCUUGCGAUUUAAUAAUCUUAGUGGCGGACGGGUGAGUAACGCGUGGGCAACUACCCAUAAGAGGGGGAUAACAGUUGGAAACGACUGCUAAUACCGCAUAAGCUAUUAAGGUCGCAUGACCUUAAUAGUAAAGGUGGCGAAAAGCUAUCACUUAUGGAUGGGCCCGCGUCUGAUUAGCUAGUUGGUGGGGUAGUGGCCUACCAAGGCAACGAUCAGUAGCCGGCCUGAGAGGGUGGACGGCCACACUGGGACUGAGACACGGCCCAGACUCCUACGGGAGGCAGCAGUGGGGAAUAUUGGGCAAUGGGGGGCAACCCUGACCCAGCAACGCCGCGUGGAGGAAGAAGGCUUUCGGGUUGUAAACUCCUUUGACGAGGGACGAUGAUGACGGUACCUCGAAAACAAGCCACGGCUAACUACGUGCCAGCAGCCGC
rnacentral:rRNA from 1 species